rnacentral:rRNA from 1 species
UACGAAGGGGGCUAGCGUUGUUCGGAAUUACUGGGCGUAAAGCGUGCGUAGGUGGUGAGUUAAGUCUGAUGUGAAAUCCCCGGGCUCAACCUGGGAAUGGCAUUGGAUACUGGCUCGCUAGAGUGCGGUAGAGGGUGGUGGAAUUCCCGGUGUAGCAGUGAAAUGCGUAGAGAUCGGGAGGAACAUCUGUGGCGAAGGCGGCCACCUGGACCAACACUGACACUGAGGCACGAAAGCGUGGGGAGCAAACAGG